rnacentral:rRNA from 1 species
UCGAGAAUCUUCCGCAAUGGGCGAAAGCCUGACGGAGCGACGCCGCGUGUAGGAUGAAGGCCCUCGGGUUGUAAACUACCGUCACGGGUUAUGAAUGUGCAUAUGUUAACAGCGUGUGUAUUGACGUAAGCCCGAAAGGAAGCACCGGCUAACUCUGUGCCAGCAGCCGCGGUAAUACAGAGGGUGCAAACGUUGUUCGGAAUUACUGGGCAUAAAGGGCUCGUAGGCGGCCAACUAAGUCAGACGUGAAAUCCCUCGGCUUAACCGGGGAACUGCGUCUGAUACUGGAUGGCUUGAAUCCGGGAGAGGGAUGUGGAAUUCCAGGUGUAGCGGUGAAAUGCGUAGAUAUCUGGAGGAACACCGGUGGCGAAGGCGGCAUCCUGGACCGGUAUUGACGCUGAGUGAGCGAAAGCCAGGGGAGCAAACGGGAUUAGAUACCCCCGUAGUCCCUGAGCGGGCUGGCAAGGCGCAU